rnacentral:rRNA from 1 species
CUACGGGGGGCUGCAGUGAGGAAUAUUGCACAAUGGGGGCAACCCUGAUGCAGCAACGCCGCGUGGAGGAUGACGCAUUUCGGUGUGUAAACUCCUUUUAUCAGAGAAGAACCAUGACGGUAUCUGAUGAAUAAGCUCCGGCUAACUCCGUGCCAGCAGCCGCGGUAAUACGGAGGGAGCAAGCGUUAUUCGGAAUCACUGGGCGUAAAGGACGCGUAGGCCGGUCUGUAAGUCAGGUGUGAAAUGCAAUGGCUCAACCAUUGAACUGCACUUGAAACUGCGGACCUAGAGUAUGGAAGGGGCAGAUGGAAUUAGUGGUGUAGGGGUAAAAUCCGUAGAUAUCACUAGGAAUACCGAAAGCGAAGGCGAUCUGCUGGGACAUAACUGACGCUGAGGCGUGAAAGCGUGGGGAGCAAACAGGAUUAGAUACCCGUGUAGUC